rnacentral:rRNA from 1 species
AUGUAGGUAUCUACCCUUUGGCCUGGAAUAACACGAGGAAACUUGUGCUAAUACCGGAUAAGUCUUUACGGAGAAAGCUUUAUGCACCAUUGGAUGAGCCUGCACUUGAUUAGUUUGUUGGUGGGGUAAUGGCCUACCAAGACUGUGAUCAAUAGCUGAUUUGAGAGGAUGAUCAGCCACAUUGGGACUGAGACAGGCCCAAACUCCUACGGGAGGCAGCAGUGGGGAAUCUUGCACAAUGGAGGAAACUCUGAUGCAGCGAUGCCGCGUGAGUGAAGAAGGCCUUUGGGUUGUAAAGCUCUUUCGUCGGGGAAGAAAAUGACUGUACCCGAAUAAGA